AGUGAACGCUGGCGGUAGGCCUAACACAUGCAAGUCGAACGGCAGCACAGUAAGAUCUUGCUCUUACGGGUGGCGAGUGGCGUACGUGUGAGGAAUACAUCGUAAUCUACUUUUUCGUGUGGGAUAACGUAGGUAAACUUACUCUAAUAUCGCAUACGACCUACCGGUGAAAGCAUUGGAUCUUUUGACCUUUCGCGGUUGAAUUAGCCGAUUUUGGAUUAGCUAGUUGGCCGGGUAAUUGCCCACCCAUGCGACGAUCCGUAGCUGGUCUGAGAGGAUGAUAGGCGACACUGGAAGUGGGCCACGCUCAAGAGUCCUACGGGAGGGACCAGAGGGGAAUAUUGGACAAUGGGCGCAAGCAUGAUCCAGCCAUACCGAGUGGGUGAAGAAGGCCUUCGGGUUGUAAAGCCCUUUUGUUGGGAAAGAAAAGCAGCAGGUUAAUACCCAGCUGUUCUGACGGUACCCAAAGAAUAAGCACCGGCUAACUUCGUG
rnacentral:rRNA from 1 species